GACGAACGCUGGCGGCGUGCUUAACACAUGCCAGUCAAACGGUAAGGCUCCAGCUUGCUGGGGUACACGAGUGGCGAACGGGUGAGUAACACGUGGGUGACCUGCCCUGCACUUCGGGAUAAGCCUGGGAAACUGGGUCUAAUACCGGAUAGGACCGCACCGUGAGGGUGUGGUGGAAAGUUUUUUCGGUGUGGGAUGGGCCCGCGGCCUAUCAGCUUGUUGGUGGGGUAAUGGCCUACCAAGGCGGCGACGGGUAGCCGGCCUGAGAGGGUGGACGGCCACAUUGGGACUGAGACACGGCCCAGACUCCUACGGGAGGCAGCAGUGGGGAAUAUUGCACAAUGGGCGGAAGCCUGAUGCAGCGACGCCGCGUGGGGGAUGACGGCCUUCGGGUUGUAAACUCCUUUCACCAUCGACGAAGGGUUUCUGACGGUAGAUGGAGAAGAAGCACCGGCUAACUACGUG
rnacentral:rRNA from 1 species